rnacentral:rRNA from 1 species
CCUACGGGAGGCAGCAGUGAGGAAUAUUGGGCAAUGGGGGCAACCCUGACCCAGCCAUGCCGCGUGAGUGAAGAAGGUCUUCGGAUGGGAAAGCUCUUUCGGACGUGACGAGGAUGACGGUAGCGUCGAAAGAAGCACCGGCAAACGUCGUGCCAGCAGCCGCGGUAAUACGAAGGGGGCGAGCGUUGUUCGGAAUUACUGGGCGUACAGGGAGUGUAGGCGGAUUUGUAAGAUAGCGGUGAAAUGCCGGGGCUCAACCCCGGAACUGCCAUUCUGACUAUGUAUCUAGAGUAAUGGAGAGGUUAGCGGAAUGCCCAUUGUCGCGGUGUCAUUCGUCGAUAUU